AUGCGCGAGAACGCCAGGAUCCGAAACGCUUCGCCGGGUGCGCAGCGCAAGGAAACCGAAGAGCUAGAAAAUGACGUAAGGCAAAGGGAAGUUAGGGAGUUUCUACUUACGAGGUAGAGUUUACAACAGUUUUAGCACUUGAGUGCAGUCGGAGGGUAUUUUUGACGCAUGGGGGCUCUCUAAGUGGAUGAAGUGGGGAACCACAGAGCAACCAGGCCUGCACAAACCUGAAGCAAAUAAGCAGUGCCUCUCCUGAGCGUGUACGUAUGGACCUAUUGCACACUGGGCGACAUGUCCAUUUUUUUUUCUUCACACAAAGCCGUCGAGUUUCUGUAACAUUAAAGUGUUGAAUCAUAAAACUGCUGGGGACCCAUCUGGGCUCAAGCAUGGCAGUUUUUAACCUCUCCUCCAUUACUGAGCAGUGCCUGUGUUCCCCUAGCAUUCCAAUACGAGCACCAAAAUGGAGUUCUUCCUUACGACUAAUGUGACCUCUGCCUUGCAAGCAGUGGGGAUUGCACUUGGACUCUACCCUUUGAAGAACCAGCUCAGUAAAACACGAUUUCCAUAUGGAUCUAUGCUUACUCAGAGAAUUACCCAAAGAAGGCUAUGGGUCUGGUAAACCAGUGUAAAUCAUAAUAUCACAAAAUGGUUUAGGUUGGAAGGAACCUUUAAGAUCACCUAGUUCCAACCUCACUGCUGUAGGUAGGGACACUGCCCUCUAGACCAGGUUACUUAAAGCAUCUCCCAGCCUAGCCUUGAAUACUUGUUGGGAGGGGGCGUUCCCAACUUCUCAGCGGCAACCUCUCAACACUGUUCCAGUGUCUCACUACUGUCAAAAUAAUUUCUUUCUAAUAGUUUACAUCUAACCUCUUCCAGUUCAAAACCAUUUCCCUUCAUCCUGUUGCUACACGCCUUUCUAAAAAGUCCCUCCCCAGCUUUCCUGUAGGCCUCCUUCAGGUACUGGAAGGCCACUAUAAGGUCUCCUCAGAGCCUUCUCUUCUCCAGGCUGAAAUGCCCCAGCUCUCUCAGCUUGUCCUCACAGGGGAGAUGCUCCAGUCCUCUGAUCAUCUUUGUGGCUCUCCUCUGGAUGCACUCUCACCGCAGCUCGAUAUCCUUUUUGUGUUGGGGGCUCCAGAACUGGACACAGUACUCCAGGUGGGGUCUCGUAAGAGCAGAGGGGCAGAAUCACCUCCCUUGACCUGCUGGUCACAGUUCUCUUGAUGCAACCCAGGAUACCAUCGGUGUUCUAUAGUAUAGUUUCAGACAAUUUGAGUGGUCUUAUGUAGUUAAAAAUCAACAGCUUCACAUGCAAACUUGAAUUACAUUCUCAUCACUUUGAUGCCAUAAUAAAAGACAAAACUGUCCUAUGCCAUUCUUUAUAUCCAAGAGGAUGACACCACAUUUGACUUUGGCUCAUAAACCCACUUCUCAUCCUAAUAGAAUAAUUUUAGAGCUCUUUUCCCACUGGGCAAGGCAGCAAUUCCCUCUUAGGUCACACAUCUAAGACCUUUCAGCUGUAAAUAAUUUUUCAGAAUUGUCUAUAUACUGUUCAUUAGUUUAUGACUAUUACACAAAAAAUAGAUAGUUUAGAUAAUGGAAAAAAAAGAAAAACGAGAAUAUUUUUAGACAUAUUUUGGUUAAAUAUUCCAGUUACCCUCGUAUAAAUGACUUCGCUAUGUCAGAAUCACCAGUCUUUGAACGACAUUAAGUUUAAGCUCUGAACCUCAUUCUACAAGAAGCAAACAGAGCUUUGUUGUCUUCACUAAUUAUAAGAGUCACUUUGAUCAUUACUUUCUUGGACUAAAAUUGCUUGAGUAGAACUCAGCCAGAGCAACAGUGGUAGACACUGUCCGUCUUCUUACCAAGGUGUUAGAGAUUUCAACUUUUAUCAACAACUCCAAACAUAAGCUUUCAAUUCAGCUGUGAGAUCUUCAAAUGCUAAAGAAGUACUGAUGUUUCAAUUUCUGUAACGCCUCUCAGGAGUGUUUUUUAGCAGAAACUAAAGCACUAAGUACGUUUCUUUCUCUAAAAAUGAACUCAAAUUUUAUAUAAAGUUUAACUUGUGCAUUUUCACAUACAUUUAUGAAAUGUUUUAUUAUAUACCACAGAAUUGGAGAACAUCCUGAGCUGAAAGGGAACCACAAGGAUCAUCAAGUCCAACUCCUGGGUCCACACAGUAGUUAUGUCUUUGGCACAGAACUAACAAUUACAAUACUCUAAAUAUGAGGCAGAACUAAUAAUUCCACAGAAGUGGCCCUAACUGCCACAAGGCAUUUGCAGUGUAAAAUUUACAAAACCUCUGGUAGUGCAAAAUGAAAUCCUGAAGAACCUGGAUUAGUUAUUCAUAUUUAUGGAAGCAGAAGAAAAAAGAAAAUGAGAAAAUUAUAAAAGUAAUGCAAAAUGUUCAAUUCACAUUUCAGUUUUUCUAUAUGUUAUGAAAUCCAGUCUUUUGUCCUUUCAUAGAUAAAUUUUCAAGUGAUAAUCUGACAGACUAAAGAUAUACAGCUGCAUGAUGCAACUGGCUUCCAAACGUUCGCAACCUAGCAUCAGUCACAUCCUCUGAAAUUGGGGCGCCACUGUUAAGUGACAUCAAAGGUCAUUUACCAAAUGCUAUAAGGGAACUAGCAACAAAAAACAAGCGAUGCUGAUUUUAAAAGGCACCAAAUGCUUUCCUUACAUACAAACAUUAUUUAGAAGUUCUUUGCAAAGAUUAUUUUCUCAGUGGCAAAGAACAAGAUCAUAAAAUACACCUAAAACACCAGCUGGUCAGUUCUUUGUGGGAACUUGCUGGUUAUUAUAAAGUAUUAUCUGUAAGACCUCUAGGGAAGACACAGUUUCUUAGGAGUGGAUGUGCUGCCUUUUUUUGUUUGUUUGUUCUCUUAUUGGACUUGUUUAACCCACAGCUUCCACAACCAGAAAUCACUGCUGAACUCUCAAAUUGAUCACAUCUGAUUGAGGGGAAGAAGUCUUCAAGAUGUGAAGGAUCCAGCUUCCAUAAUUUCAGCUAAUUAGAACGUGGUAGGGACUUUCCAUAACGUUUCCAUCCGGGGGAGCUGAAAGGCUGCUUGCUCAUUUUCACAUAGAAUGAUAGUCUGCCGAAAGCACCCAGAACGGAACCCCCGCAGCCCCGCUGCUCUGCACCAGUUCCGCAAGGAGCGGAGCCUCGGCUUUCUCAGGCUGAUGGCAGCUGACGGCAGGAAAUUUGCAUACCCGCUCGGGAUUGGCUGCGGAGGAGUCGCUUUGCAUCAACCAAUCUGUAAGCGCGCAGCUGAGUCACCACCAGGAGGCCUGUGCAAAUCCGCCCGGCAACCGGCUGAAAAUAGAGCCGGAACCAAGGUACGUCACCAAGACUGGGUGUGACGCGAUGCCUCUUCGCCUGUGACGUCGUAUACGUGUAAACACAACGUGCCAGACGCCUCGUUUCACAGUCGUUACACUGCGAUGCUACUGUCACAGAGAGACAAAUGCAUGACUCUACUGCAAGCGCAAGAAAUAAGGGAGACACGGUCUUCAAAUCAUAUGCCCAAAACAGAGACAUUAGGUGCAGUGGAUGUAUCUGAAUCUUCACUAAAUGUGGACUCUUCCCCCUGAAGUUAGACCUUUGUUGGACCCCUGUGCUAUCCCUUGGUGUGUCACACAUCAUAGUACUGGACUUGGAAAGGCGAGAAGGCUGAACCAAGAAAUGAAAUUAUAAACAGGUUUCUACUUCAUGGAACUGGUUGCUGGCAGGUCAAACACAACACAUUGAAAGGAUUAGAACAGCAUGCAGUGUGAACAUAGCUGCCUCAUCAUGGUCUUCUGCAGCCUGAAAGGCACCACCUGACCAUAUCUGGUCAGAUAUACCAUGGUACAUAAAACCAUGUGUAUUUUUUACAAGGUUGUAGUAAAUAAGGGGACACGGAAGAAAGGUAGCCAAUGCAGACAGUCACACUGACCAGUGACACCAGCUGACAGCUUUUGAAUGAUUCAAUGGAAUAGAAUUAUAAAAUUAAUGAGAAGUCAAAAGAAGAAAAGAAAUAGAAGAAAUCUUCAAAUUAUGAGAAGAAAGAAAAGAGGAAAAAAUUCAUCACUUUUCUUCUAAAAGUGACAAGUUACAAAACCUUUAUUAUCCUUAUCAUCUGUUAGAGCUAUCUAUCACAAGCAUCCUGCUUUAAGGAAAGGUUGCUCACUCAGUAGAUGUUAGCUGGCCACUGCUGAUCUUUAUUGGCAGUCAUGACCACAAGACAGUUAUUCAUUGAUCAACAUGGAGUGAAAAACAAGCUGCCAGCCUAAUAAUCUUUCACUACUAGAUUCAAGAAAAAAAAAAAAAAAAAUGUGUUUUCAGUGCUGGUAACCCAGUGUAUUAAUAUGCUAAGAACACCAGGCAAUGCAGGUAAUGGAAGGUUUUGUAAUAAGCAGUCUCAAAAGUUUCUAUGACAAUUUCUUGUUAUAAUAAAGCAUGCAAUCAAGUAAGAUUUAUUUUAUAGUAAAAGUGUACAGUACUUCAUUAAAUUCUCCUGUGUCAAUGGGCAGACAAUUAUUUUUCUGUAUUUGCUGCUAGGCAGGGAUUUGUCACAUGUCUGAAACGGUAAGGGUUUGGAAGAAAAACUACCCAAGAUAUUACACAAAGUGCACUUUAAAUGUUUUGUAAUCAAACAUGUAAGCAAUCAUAGCAUUGAUGAUUCUUCAACUUAACUCAGAACAAGCUGGGCAGACACAAGCUUUUUGACUUAAUUUUUUGCUAAAAUGAACGAAGAACAGGAGGCAGAAAGUGGACAAACACAAUGUGGUUUCUUUAUGUAAUUCCAGUAAUGGAAACGAGGUCAAGCACAAUAGAACUACCUUCAAAAGGAUUUUUAAUAGUAAAAAAUAUCCUGAAACAGUAGUGAUUCUAGCUGCAUCCUUCCUUUCUAGAGCUUUCAACCAUUCCCCUUCUUUUCUCACCACACUUCCUACACAGUCAGCCUUACAAUCUCAUUAUAUACAAUUUGCUAGAGUUCUUUCAAGACCAAAGAGUAUCUUACACUUCAUUCUUAAUGUAUAAAAUAAUCUGUUCUCAUAGUACUAUCUGCUUGAGACAGCUGAAACUCAGUGUGAGUACAUAUAAGGUUGGACCUAAGGUUGGCACAAUUGUAUGCAUCUGCAUGGGCAGCACUUUAAGAUUUCUGAGGUGAUGACUUUGCAUGUAAUGCCAGUAUACUCAUAUCCACUCGCUUAUAUACUCUGAGAAACACAGACACCUGAUCAAAAGCAGAGGAGGAUGAGACGAUUUUCAUGGAAAGUUAUCACUUGCAGUUGGGUGAAAAUAAUUUUGGAUUUGGUUCUUUAAAAUAUACAUGUAUUUAUUCUUCCUACCCAUGUUAUUGACAACAAAAUUAUAUCCACCCCACAUAAACUGUGCAGAAACUACAUUACACAAUAUUCUAUUGUGUAUGAAGAAUGAAAAGAAACAAGAAUAUGAUGCAAGUACUUAUGAGGUAGCAUAUGAACUCAGAUUAGGGAUUUCAGACACAUUAAAACCUUUUUGAUGCUAUUUUAACCCAGUGAAUACAAAGCAACCCAGCAAGAAGAAGUCUUCUUAGCCCAGAUCAAUUGGCUGAUGCUAUAACCAUGAGGCUACUCUUAAUACUUAAGCCAGAACAAGACAGUGGGCAGAAGGAGGAACAGAGAACUGAUUUAAGCUGACCUUGUCACAUACAAGCCUUUGAACACAAUUUAUAUUAUCUGUACAAAUAGCACCAAGCUAGGUCAGGAAGCUUAACAUCCAGAUAUACAUUUAGGAGGAUUGAUACUUCACUGGCUUCUUGAAGUGGCUAACAAAACAAUCACAGGAACACCAGAGCUGCCAAACUGGAAUAUGCAGCAGAACAGCCUUGCGUUUUCUGGGUGUAAAUGUGUGAGUCAAGGAUUACUGUGAUGGACAGGGAAAACUUCCUGAUUUUUUCUCAGUUUCCUGAGAAAGAGCACUACAGCUGUCCCAUUAAGUCAGCUUCAUCUGAUUACUUGUGCUUUCUAGGGCCACUGCAUGGAGGUUGUUCCCACAAAGAAAUAUAUUUGAUAAGUUCACAUAGAUGUUGUCUUAUUUAUUUUAAAAUGUUUAUAACUAUGUCUCUGAUGUAAAAGCAUUGUAUACAAUACUAACUACACUUGUAAUAUAUAGUUAUUUUUUGAAAGCUUCAAAGAUGAAGUAGUGUAAAUACACAGAUUAAAGAUGUAACUUCUGGUUUGGACUGUGCCAAAUUUUACAGUAAGAGGUGGGCCCUGAAACACAUAACAGCUUUUACAUGUAUUAUUAAAAAAAGAGAUAAUAUUUGCCUCUGCUCUAUUCACAAAACCAAGCUUCUAAUGUGAAAUUCUACCUAAGUAUUUCCAGAUUUACAUAUUCAGUUACAAAGAUCAGAUGUUGAUUAUACUCCAUAUUAUGAAUUCAGUACUGUGAUUAUUAUUACAUAAAAUUGGAAACCUGUACUAUCUCAUCCCUUUAAAAAUAUUUCAGUGAACAGCCUCCACUAAGCAUAAACAUUUUAUGCUCUAUCAUUUUAUUCUCUAUUAAAACAAAACAAAACAAAAAAACCCAUGAUUUUUGGUAGCUCAUAUAAAUAUACACACAACACUAAGCUCUGUGCCAGCAGAACUACUAGUAGUCAAGUAUGUAUUUACUAAACAAAUUACUCUGAUGCUUUAGUUUGGGUGACACGCUUAAUCCCAUAACAUUAUUUUUCAGUGGAAAUUCUUUACUCACUGAUCUGCUUGGAUGAUCCAUUAAAAUUUAAGGAAUUGGUGUAUAUUUUAAACAUACAAGGAAAAAAGAAUUAAGGAGUAUACUUAUAGCUACGGCUGGUUUGAAUGGCUUUACUUAAGUUAUCCCAAACAAACACUAAGUGUCAUCAUCACAAUGUUGAGUAUUGCAUCAGUAAAAAAAGUCAGAGUGCUGAGAGACAUCUAUGUCUGGUGUUCCAGAGUAUCCUUAAGAUAAUGUAAGUAAGAAGUUUGAAAAGGUUUGGCUGAAAACUAAUUACAUCUUAAAUAAAUAUUAAUCUUCAAAAUGAUAUUAUCUGCAUUUGAGAAUCAUGAAAAUAGUAAUUUAUUACUAUGUGCCAGGGAAGGUUCAGGCUGGACAUUAGGAAAUACCACUACUCUGAAAGGGUGGUCAGGCACUGGAAUGGGCUGCCCAGAGAGGUGGUGGAGUCACCGACCCUGGAGGUGUUCAAGGAACAUUUGGUUGUUGUGUUGAGGGACGUGGUUUAGUGAGAACCAUUGGUGAUGGGCGAAUGGUUGGACUGGAUGAUCCUGUGGGUCUUUUCCAAUCUUAGGGAUUCUAUGAUUAUGACAAGAAUCAACAGGUAGAAGUAACCUCUUACAGAGUCUGUUUAUUCCAAAACUUGAUAGUAGUAGUAUAAAUGCAGAGAAUAAAAUUACUUCUGGCAUUUAUAAUUUCUGAAAUAACUGGGGAGAAAAAAAAAAAACAAAAAAAAAACAGGAAAAAACAACCAAGGUCAAGGCAACUCCCAUUACCAAUAUAGAGCAUGAAAGGAUUGAGAGCAGCCCUGCCAAAAAAAAACCUGGGGUUACUGUGGAUGGAGAGCUGGAUAUGAGCCAGCCAUAUACCUUUGCCACCCAGAAAACCAACUGUAUCCUGGGCUGCAUCAAAAGAUGCGUGACCAGCAGGUCAAGGGAUGUGAUCCUGCCCCCCACCUCUGUGCUGGUGAGGCCUCAACAGGAAUACUGAGUCCAGAUGUGGAGUCCUCAGUACAGGACCUGUUGAAGCGCAUCCAGAGAAGGUCCACAAAAAUGGAAUGGAACACCUCUCCUACGAGGACAGGCUGAGAGAGCUGGGUUCUUCAACCUAGAGAAGAUAAGGCUGCAAGGUGACCUGAUAGUGGCCUUUCAGUAUCUACAGGAAAAAAGGGGACAGACUCUUGAGCAGGGUCUGUGGUGACAGAACAAGGGGAAACGGCUUCAAGUUCAGGGAAAAUACAUUAAGGUUAGAUAUACGGAAAAUAUCUUUUACAGUGAGGGUGGUAAGGCACUGGAACAGAUCACCUAGUGUUGAGGUUGAUGCCCCAUCCCUGGAGACUUUCAAGGCGAGGCUGGUUAAGGCCCUGGGCAACCUGAUAUAGCUGUCCUGUCCCUGUUCAUUGCAGGGGAGUUAGACUAGAUGGCCUUCAGAAGUCCCUUCCAACUCUAAGGAUUCUAUGAUUCUUGAACAAGCUAACCUAAGUGCACUGGCAAAGAAUGCACUUGGCUACACUCCUGUGCCAUUUGUUGAUUUGUAAAUAUUUGUGAGAUUGUAGCUACAUAUAAUAGAAGACUAGUGAUGAACAAAAUCUUUCCAGAAUAUUUUAACAUCUGUUGGAGUUUUAACUUCUGCAGGAGAUGUGUCCCAACCGUUUGGACCUUUUUUUUGAGCCUAGAUCCUAGACUACCCUACAAUGAUGAACGAUUCCUAAUUAUUCUACAUGGCAAUCGGUAAUAUUAACAAGUCAAAUCAGUUUGUUUAUAUUUGCAACUCUUUCAGAAGGAUCAAGCUAACUUGCAAUUGAAAGGAAAACUGACACCCCACCAAACUACACUACAUACAUAAAAUUCAGAAAGAUCAAUAACGUGAUCAUCACUACAUUUCUAAACAAGUUUCUCAUAGAGUAAAACCUGUAGUAGAAAGUACCAGAAGAACUGAUAUCCAUUUUUUCCCAUUAUAUGCCCAGAUAGCUAAACUGAGUCUUUUAUCCUUCAAACAAAAUUUGUAUUUAGCAGAAUGGAAAGAAAUCUGGGCAAGUGUGACCAACACUCCGAUUGAAUUUUCACUACUUGCAUCAUCUUCUCUGGGACAAGUCAGUGCUAAGUAGUUCCAAAGAGGAGCAGUAUGAAGAUGACUGUGGUGACUCUGAAAGACGCAAUGCAAUCAUGACCACUUCCAUUCUUUGGUACCAGACACAGUAAGUAAAUAAAUAAAUAAACUGACAAACAAACAAACAACUAAAUAAAUGGCACAGUUAAAGCGCUUUACUUCUGUUGAUACCAUUGCAGGCUAGUUUUAAAAAGUCUCUAUAAGCAAGAAAAAAACCAAGAUGACAACAGAAAAAACAUGCAUACACAGAAGAUCAACAAGCUUUUUCUAUACAUUUUCACAUGAAAAGAAAUAACAAUAACAAAGCAGUGAAUAUAAGAGAUUCUUCCAGUUUUGUGUAAGUUUGUCUUAAGUAAGGAAGCAGUAGUUGCAGAAUUGAGAAGAUACUUGUCAAGCUAAAUGGUUUUCUCUCAAUAAGCUAAGCUAUGUAAAAAAAACCAAAGGAU